rnacentral:rRNA from 1 species
CCUACGGGCGGCUGCAGUAGGGAAUUUUGCGCAAUGGGCGAAAGCCUGACGCAGCAACGCCGCGUGAUCGAGACGCCCUUCGGGGUGUAAAGAUCUGUCAGUGGGGACGAAACUUGACGGUACCCACAGAGGAAGCACCGGCUAAAUCCGUGCCAGCAGCCGCGGUAAUACGGGGGGUGCAAGCGUUGUCCGGAAUCAUUGGGCGUAAAGAGUUCGUAGGCGGCACGUAAAGUCUGGUGGUAAAGGCAGGGGCUCAACUUCUGUACGGCACUGGAUACUUGCGGGCUAGAGUGCGGUAGAGGUAAAGGGAAUUCCUGGUGUAGCGGUGAAAUGCUUAGAUAUCAGGAGGAACAUCGGUGGCGUAAGCGCUUUACUGGGCCGUAAUUGACGCUGAGGAACGAAAGCCAGGGUAGCAAAUGGGAUUAGAUACCCCAGUAGUC